GAUGAACGCUGGCGGCGUGCCUAAUACAUGCAGGUCGAGCGAACGGACGAGAAGCUUGCUUCUCUGAUGUUAGCGGCGGACGGGUGAGUAACACGUGGAUAACCUACCUAUAAGACUGGGAUAACUUCGGGAAACCGGAGCUAAUACCGGAUAAUAUUUUGAACCGCAUGGUUCAAAAGUGAAAGACGGUCUUGCUGUCACUUAUAGAUGGAUCCGCGCUGCAUUAGCUAGUUGGUAAGGUAACGGCUUACCAAGGCAACGAUGCAUAGCCGACCUGAGAGGGGGAUCGGCCACACUGGAACUGAGACACGGUCCAGACUCCUACGGGAGGCAGCAGAAGGGAAUCUUCCGCAAUGGGCGAAAGCCUGACGGAGCAACGCCGCGUGAGUGAUGAAGGUCUUCGGAUCGUAAAACUCUGUUAUUAGGGAAGAACAUAUGUGUAAGUAACUGUGCACAUCUUGACGGUACCUAAUCAGAAAGCCACGGCUAACUACGUG
rnacentral:rRNA from 1 species